rnacentral:rRNA from 1 species
GCGUGAGUGAAGAAGGCCUUAGGGUUGUAAAACUCUUUCACUGAUGAAGAUGAUGACGGUAAUCAGAGAAGAAGCCCCGGCUAACUCCGUGCCAGCAGCCGCGGUAAUACGGAGGGGGCUAGCGUUAUUCGGAUUUACUGGGCGUAAAGCGCACGUAGGCGGCGUAUCUAGUCAGAGGUGAAAGCCCGGGGCUCAACCCCGGAAUUGCCUUUGAUACUGGUAUGCUUGAGUUCGGAAGAGGGUAGUGGAAUUCCAAGUGUAGAGGUGAAAUUCGU